UCGAACGAGAAAGUGGAGCAAUCCAUGAGUAAAGUGGCGUACGGGUGAGUAACACGUGGAUAAUCUGCCCUUUAGUGGGGAAUACCGCUGGGAAACCGGCGACAAUACCGCAUAAGCUCGAGAGAGGAAAGCAGCAAUGCGCUGAAGGAGGAGUCCGCGGUCGAUUAGCUAGUUGGUGAGGUAAUGGCUCACCAAGGCUGUGAUCGAUAGCCGGCCUGAGAGGGCACACGGCCACACUGGCACUGAAACACGGGCCAGACUCCUACGGGAGGCAGCAGUGGGGAAUCUUGCACAAUGGGGGAAACCCUGAUGCAGCGACGCCGCGUGAGCGAUGAAGCCCUUCGGGGUGUAAAGCUCUUUCGGCAGGGAAGAUUAUGACGGUACCUGCAGAAGCAGCUGCGGCUAACUACGUGCCAGCAGCCGCGGUAAUACGUAGGCAGCAAGCGUUGUUCGGAGUUACUGGGCGUAAAGGGUGCGUAGGCGGUCCUAUAAGUAUGGUGUGAAAUCUCCCGGCUUAACUGGGAGGGUGCGCUAUAGACUGUGGGACUAGAGUGUGGGAGAGGAAAGUGGAAUUCCUGGUGUAGCGGUGAAAUGCGUAGAUAUCAGGAGGAACACCGGUGGUGUAAACGGCUUUCUGGACCAUAACUGACGCUGAGGCACGAAAGCGUGGGUAGCAAACAGGAUUAGAUACCCUGGUAGUCCACGCCCUAAACGAUGCAUAUUUGGUGUGGGUCAUUC
rnacentral:rRNA from 1 species